AAGGUGCAGAUGGGACAACGUGUCUGGCUGUUAACCAGAAGGUUGGUGGUUCGAGCCUACCCAGGGAGA